GAGUUUGAUCGUGGCUCAGAUUGAACGCUGGCGGCAUGCCUUACACAUGCAAGUCGAACGGCAGCAUGAUCUAGCUUGCUAGAUUGAUGGCGAGUGGCGAACGGGUGAGUAAUACAUCGGAACGUGCCCUGUAGUGGGGGAUAACUAGUCGAAAGAUUAGCUAAUACCGCAUACGACCUGAGGGUGAAAGUGGGGGACCGCAAGGCCUCAUGCUAUAGGAGCGGCCGAUGUCUGAUUAGCUAGUUGGUGGGGUAAAGGCCCACCAAGGCGACGAUCAGUAGCUGGUCUGAGAGGACGAUCAGCCACACUGGGACUGAGACACGGCCCAGACUCCUACGGGAGGCAGCAGUGGGGAAUUUUGGACAAUGGGCGAAAGCCUGAUCCAGCAAUGCCGCGUGUGUGAAGAAGGCCUGGUGU
rnacentral:rRNA from 1 species